rnacentral:lncRNA from 1 species
AUGUAUACCCUAAAAGCCACAAAAAUUUUAAAAAAAAUUUGGAUAAAUUCAGUGCAAAAUUGAAAGAGUAUUGGAUUUCUAAAACUCUAUCUCAUAGAAAUCGAAAUCCAAACUUAUUCCUUUUAGAUUUGAUCCAAACCACCUUCCAUGUAAGAAAGAAGAGAGGAGACCUUUUGUGAACGUGGGAGAGAUUUGAGAGAGGGCUUUUGUCACACAAAAUAAGUGGAGAUUGGCGGUGAAUAAGAGAGAGGGCGUGGAGAAGGCUUAUGUGGCGCAAGGUGGAAUCCUAGUCUUACUAGGAUUCUGUCUUAUGACUUGUUUUAAUUUGGUUUCCCAAACCAAAUCAAAUCAAAAUUAGAUCAACCCAAUUAAAAUAGGUCUUAACCCAAUUAAGAACCUAAUUUAAUCAGAUUAAAUUAGAUUAAAAUCUAAUUUAAUUUUCUAAUCAAAUUAGAAAUUAGAUUGACCCAAGUCCUAAUUGAACUAGGACUAGUUUUUCCUUGCACUUGGCUUAUCCAAUAAACCAAUUGGACUUGAUCCAAUCAAGCCCAAAAUAAAUCUAAUUAAAUUAUAUUUAAUUAGACUUAAUCUC